GAUGGUUACGAUGAUGAUUCUUAGCUCCCUCUUCUGAUGUGAAAGUCUGAAGAAAGCUAGCUGGCAGAAUCGAACCUAUGACUUUAAAGCCAACACUGAGUAA